rnacentral:tRNA from 1 species
AGGGAAAUAACUCAAUGGGAGAGUACAUGCUUAGUAUGCACAAGGUCCUGGGUUCAAUCCCCAGUCCUCUCA